AUACGGAUGGUGCGAGCGUUGUUCGGAAUUACUGGGCGUAAAGCGCGCGUAGGCGGUUUGCUCAGUCGGAUGUGAAAGCCCAGGGCUCAACCUUGGAACUGCAUACGAUACUGGCAAACUAGAGUGUGAGAGAGGAUAGUGGAAUUUCCGGUGUAGCGGUGAAAUGCGUAGAUAUCGGAAGGAACAUCAGUGGCGAAGGCGACUGUCUGGCUCAACACUGACGCUGAGGUGCGAAAGCGUGGGUAGCAAACAGGAUUAGAAACCCUAGUAGUCC
rnacentral:rRNA from 1 species